UAUGUAGGGGGCUAGCGUUGUCCGGAUUUAUUGGGCGUAAAGAGCUCGUAGGUGGUUCGGUAAGUCGGAUGUGAAAUCCCCAGGCUUAACCUGGGAACUGCAUCCGAUACUGGAUGGCUUGAAUCCGGGAGAGGGAUGCAGAAUUCCAGGUGUAGCGGUGAAAUGCGUAGAUAUCUGGAGGAAUACCGGUGGCGAAGGCGGCAUCCUGGACCGGCAUUGACGCUGAUGAGCGAAAGCCAGGGGAGCAAACGGG
rnacentral:rRNA from 1 species